rnacentral:lncRNA from 1 species
AAGAGACAAUCAGAACACAUUGUGCGCAUGAGCUGUAUUAAAUCCUAGAUUGAUAUGUAUUUGUGUACAUAUAGGAAUCCGAGAUUGAUUCGUAGUUGUAUAUAGAUAGGAACAAAUAACUUUCCUGCUUAUCCUCUGUAUCUUUCCUAUUUCAUCUCUGAAGUGUAACUAUAUAUAUUGCCUCCUGUGGAGAAGAAUAUAACGAAGAGAAGUAAUAUUACAGAAACCUUAUUGUUUACAUGGUAUCAGAGCAGACUCAAUUCUAUCUGCAGUAAACCAAACCGAAUACGAACCUCGAAUCCCUUCUCCUACGAAAAAAUAAUUUGUAUCAAGCUACUGUUCUUAUUCUACAAAACAGAAUCCUCUAUAUUUCUGAGACGUAACUCACAAGUUAUUUGUGCUUUCUUCUUCAUCUAGUAUUUUUUCUUCUUCUAUGGCUGCAGACAUGUCGACUUCAAUUGUUCCAACACCAACACAGCAGAUUAUUGUACAUCAAGAUAACUCUUCCUUCCCAACCGGAGUCAUCCUUGAUGAGACCAACUAUUCAUUAUGGUCUCAACUCAUGGAGAUGCGUAUAGGGGCUCGCAACAAAGCUGGAUAUCUCACGGGAGAAACAAAAAAACCAGAAGUUGGAGAUCCCAAUCUUGGAGCAUGGAUUACUGAAAAUCACAGAGUAAAAAGUUGGCUCAUUGAUGCAAUGAGUCCAGCAUUAAUGCAACGAUUUAUUCGCCUGUCUACAGCCAAAGAAAUAUGGGAGGCCGUAUCAAAAACAUUUUAUGAUGGAUCAGAUGAAACCUGUAUCUUCGAACUGAACCAAAGAUCUUUCUCUACCAAACAGAAUGGUCGCCCCUUAUCAACUUACUAUAAUGAACUUGUUGCUAUAUUUCAAGAAAUUGAUCACAAGACAAAAUCUCAGGAAGGAACAGUUGAGGGGGUACUUCAGUUACACUCUGCAAUGGCUAGACUUAGAGUUCAUAUCUUUCUGAGUGGACUUGAUUCAGAAUUCAAUCAGGUUUGUGGCGAAAUCUUGCGCAAAGAUCCAAAACUUGAUUUGGAGAACACAUACGCAUAUGUCAGGAGGGAAUACCAGCAAAGACAAACCAUGGGAAGCUAUCAUCCAAACUCUGAGAAUUUAGCUAUGCUAACCAACACUCCUCGACAAGGAUCAUCAUAUGAAUCAACCAGUAAACGAAACACUCAAUUAUCCAGAAAGGUUAACAACCUGGUCUGCGCUCAUUGUGGGGAAAAAGGUCAUUCACAACAGCGGUGCUAUGAGAUUAUUGGUAUCCCGAGUGGUGGGAUUUCUCAAAGAAACCUCGGAAAAAGAUCCCUGCAAGAGCUAUGACAACGUCUACAGAAGAAGAUCACCAGCAGCCUACAGCAAAUAUUGCUCAUCCUGGUAAAGUUGGUAAAGUAUCUGUAUUCCCUGCACAUUAUAAGGAUAAAACUUGGAUUGUUGAUACAGGUGCAUCUGAACAUAUGACGAGAGACGUUAGACAAUUACAAUCCAUACUCCCUUCUUCUCAAUCAGUUAUUUCCACAGCCAAUGGUAGUACCUCCCCUGUUACUGGGGAAGGUUCAGUUAUUUUUUCAAAUACACUCACACUCAAUACUGUCCUUGUUGUUCCCUCUCUUGAAUAUAAUCUGUUAUCUGUUAGCCAAAUUACAUUCACCCUUCAUUGUACUGUAACGUUUUGGCCCUCCUUUUGUGUCUUUCAGGACAUUCUAACGCGGAAGAUUCUUGGCUAUGGUGUUAGACGGGGCAAACUCUACUACUUGGAAUUAACAGAUAAUGGAGAAUCAAAAAUUAGUCAGGCAAAUCAUGUUAGUAGCAGAGAUAAGGCUCAGACAGUUAUAUGGCUAUGGCAUCGUAGAUUAGGACAUCUUUCUUUUGGUUAUCUAAAGAAACUACAACCAGUACUCUUUUCUGGUAUUAAUGAAUUGGAUUUUCAUUGUGAUACAUGUGAACUGGCUAAAAGUCACCGUAUCUCUUAUUCUCCAAGUUUGAAUAAAAGUUCAGAACCAUUUGAGGUCAUUCACACGGAUGUUUGGGGUCCUGCAAAGGUUCCUGCAAUUUCUAGCUCUCGUUAUUUUGUGACUUUUAUUGAUGAAUGCACGAGAAUGACUUGGGUAUCCUUACUUAUACACAAGAAUGAUGUGUGUCUAGCUUUCCAGACAUUCCAUAAAAUGAUACAAACUCAGUACCAAAAACAAAUUCGUGUGGUGCAGUCUGAUAAUGGCACCGAGUUUGUAGCUGCAUCUCUUGGGAACUUCCUGUGCAGCCAUGGAAUUCGCCAUCAGACCUCGUGCACCUAUACUCCACAACAGAAUGGAUUAGCUGAGCGGAAAAAUCGACAACUAUUAGAGGUAGUACGUGCUUCUCUUUUUGGUAUGAAUAUGCCAAAAUUUUAUUGGGGUGAGGCUGUGAAAUCUGCUACUUAUAUCAUCAACAGAACACCAUCUCGAGUCCUAGAUUUUCAAACACCCUUACAAAAGUUACAAUCCUUACUCCCAGUUCCCCAUUUCCCCAACCUUGAACCUCGAAUUUUUGGUUGUACCGUGUUUGUUCACAUCCCAAAAAUCUUACGGAACAAACUUGAUCCAUGUGCAAAACGUUGUGUAUUUGUUGGCUACUCUGAUCUUCAGAAAGGAUAUAGAUGUUAUGAUCCCCACACCCGAAAAUUCCAUGUGACAUUGGAUGCUUCCUUUCGUGAGCUCAUUCCUUAUUACUCUGGUGGAGCCUUGAGCCAUUCUCUUCAGGGGGAGAACUUCAGUAACGAGAAUGAGGAUCUGAUGGAUAAAGGAGGUGAGGAGUUUACCCAGUUAGAGGCUCUGAUGGAUAAAGUAAGUGAGGAGUCUAUCCAGUUAGAAGAGAAUGAAAACUUGAAUCCACAAGGCAGUAAUCAUAGCACUGAUGUCGAGAAUGAUUCCACACAUGAAGCUCUAGUUUUUCCUGAUGAAUCUGCACCACCAUUUGAGUUGCCCCUGUCUACACCAUUACCUGCAGAAUCAUCCACGAAUGUUCCCCCUCAGGUAAGUCAUGGGAUUAGAGAGUCUAAUGAAAUAUAUUGUCCUACAGAAAACCCCACUUCUAGAUAUCCACAAAGGAUGAAUAAGGGAAUUCCGAAAAAACAAUAUGAUCCUGAUCUUACAGUCAAAACCAAAUAUCCAAUUAAUAACUAUGUGUCCUCUCAUAGGUUGACUCGUUCAUAUGCACUUACUGUUAAUCAACUUUCCACAGUUUCUAUUCCUAGUAAUGUGCAGGAUGCAUUGGCUAAUCAAAGAUGGAGAAAGGCAAUGAAUGAAGAGAUGGAGGCUCUACAGAAAAAUGCUACGUGGGAACUAGUUCCGCUGCCCAAAGGAAUGAAGACAGUUGGAUGCAGAUGGGUGUUCACUGUGAAACUCAACCCAGAUGGUAGUAUUGACAGGUAUAAAGCUCGACUAGUCGCAAAGGGAUAUACACAAAGGUAUGGGGUAGACUAUCAGGAUACUUUUGCACCAGUAGCCAAGAUCAAUACUAUUCGUAUUCUUAUAUCUAUAGCCGCAAAUCGAGACUGGCCUCUGCAACAGUUUGAUGUUAAGAAUGCAUUUCUCAAUGGUGAUCUAGAAGAAGAAGUCUACAUGGAACUACCACCUGGAGUUAACAGCAACUUAGGCAAAGGUGAAGUCUGCAAACUAAAGAAGUCACUGUAUGGACUAAAACAGUCACCUAGAGCAUGGUUUGGGAGAUUCUCUGCUACAAUGAAGGAGUUUGGCUAUAAACAAAGUAACUCUGACCAUACUUUGUUUAUAAAACAUAACGAAGGAAGAGUAACCGUUUUAAUUGUAUAUGUGGAUGAUAUGGUCAUGACAGGAGAUGAUCCACGUGAAAUGAAAGCAUUACAGAGAUAUCUAGCUACUAAAUUUGAAAUGAAGGAUCUCGGACACCUUAAAUAUUUUUUAGGAAUUGAGGUGGCAAGGUCAAGGCAGGGAAUAUCUCUUUCACAACAAAAAUAUGUGAUAGACCUGCUAACUGAAACUGGAAUGCUUAGUUGCAAACCAGUAGAAACGCCCAUGGAGAUGAACCAUAAGCUGGGAAUUUUUCCAGAUCAGGAUCCAACAGACAAGGAUCGUUACCAGCGAUUAGUUGGAAGGCUAAUCUACUUAUCCCAUACCAGACCUGAUAUAGCAUAUGCAGUAAGUGUGGUGAGUCAGUUCAUGCAUGCACCAAGUAAAGAACAUAUGGAAGCAGUAUAUCGAAUCUUACGGUACUUAAAAGGUUCUCCAGGAAGAGGAUUGUUGUUCACAAAAAACAAUAUUCCUAACAUUGAAGGAUAUACAGACUCUGAUUGGGCAGGAGAUCAGACGACCAGAAAAUCUACUUCUGGUUAUUUUACGUUUGUAGAAGGUAAUCUUGUCACUUGGAAAAGCAAGAAACAAAAAGUAGUAGCAAGAUCAAGUGCUGAAGCUGAAUUUCGAGGGAUGGCUCAUGGUGUAUGUGAAUUGAUAUGGAUAAGGAAUAUAUUAAGGGAUCUAGGGAUUGAAUAUACUGAACCUAUGAAUCUCUUUUGUGAUAAUAAAGCAGCUAUAGCAAUCGCACAGAACCCAGUUCAACAUGAUCGCACCAAACACGUUGAGGUUGAUCGUCAUUUCAUCAAGGAGAAUCUCGAUGGAAGAAUCAUACAGUUUCCAUUUAUACAAUCUAAGAGUCAACUGGCUGAUGUACUCACAAAGGCAGUUUCAGGAAAGGCGUUUCAUGAUAUAAUUAACAAGUUGGGCAUGAUAAACAUCUAUGCACCAACUUGAGGGGGAGUGUGCGCAUGAGCUGUAUUAAAUCCUAGAUUGAUAUGUAUUUGUGUACAUAUAGGAAUCCGAGAUUGAUUCGUAGUUGUAUAUAGAUAGGAACAAAUAACUUUCCUGCUUAUCCUCUGUAUCUUUCCUAUUUCAUCUCUGAAGUGUAACUAUAUAUAUUGCCUCCUGUGGAGAAGAAUAUAACGAAGAGAAGUAAUAUUACAGAAACCUUAUUGUUUACACACAUUAUACAGUCUUCAUUGCUUGGAAUUUCUACUGAAACAACUUUGUUAUUUAGAAGAACGAAAACAAAGAAGAGAACAAGGAUUAUGGGUACAAUUAAUGCAACAUGCGGAUUAAUUCAUAUGAAAGAAUUGAAACUGCAGAAGCUAAACUACUUGAAGUAUAGAGCAGACGGCUUGUAUGACAGUCAGAAUGAGAAGA